rnacentral:rRNA from 1 species
ACGGGUGAGUAACACGUGGGCAAUCUGCCCUUCACUCUGGGACAAGCCCUGGAAACGGGGUCUAAUACCGGAUAUCACUCCUGCAGGCAUCUGUGGGGGUUGAAAGCUCCGGCGGUGAAGGAUGAGCCCGCGGCCUACCAGCUUGUUGGUGAGGUAAUGGCUCACCAAGGCGACGACGGGUAGCCGGCCUGAGAGGGCGACCGGCCACACUGGGACUGGGACACGGCCCAGACUCCUACGGGAGGCAGCAGUGGGGAAUAUUGCACAAUGGGCGAAAGCCUGAUGCAGCGACGCCGCGUGAGGGAUGACGGCCUUCGGGUUGUAAACCUCUUUCAGCAGGGAAGAAGCGAAAGUGACGGUACCUGCAGAAGAAGCGCCGGCUAACUACGUGCCAGCAGCCGCGGUAAUACGUAGGGCGCAAGCGUUGUCCGGAAUUAUUGGGCGUAAAGAGCUCGUAGGCGGUCUGUCGCGUCGGAUGUGAAAGCCCGGGGCUUAACCCCGGGUCUGCAUUCGAUACGGGCAGACUAGAGUGUGGUAGGGGAGAUCGGAAUUCCUGGUGUAGCGGUGAAAUGCGCAGA